rnacentral:rRNA from 1 species
UACGUAGGGUGCGAGCGUUAAUCGGAAUUACUGGGCGUAAAGCGUGCGCAGGCGGGCUUUUAAGCCAGACGUGAAAUCCCCGGGCUUAACCUGGGAAUGGCGUUUGGGACUGGGAGUCUGGAGUACGGCAGAGGAGACUGGAAUUCCUGGUGUAGCAGUGAAAUGCGUAGAUAUCUGGAGGAACACCGGUGGCGAAGGCGGCAUCCUGGACCGGUAUUGACGCUGAGGAGCGAAAGCCAGGGGAGCAAACGGG